rnacentral:rRNA from 1 species
GAGUUUGAUCUUGGCUCAGGAUGAACGCUAGCGGCGUGCCUAAUACAUGCAAGUCGAGCGGGAUCCACCUUUCGGGGUGGUGAGAGCGGCGCACGGGUGAGUAACGCGUACACGACCUACCUCUGACAGGAGGAUAGCCCUGGGAAACUGGGAUUAAUACCGCAUAUAAUUCUUAAUAAUAAAGGUUAGGAAUGAAAGUUAAGGCGGUCAGAGAUGGGUGUGCGUCUGAUUAGCUAGUUGGUAGGGUAACGGCCUACCAAGGCGAUGAUCAGUAGGGGGCGUGAGAGCGUGGUCCCCCACACGGGUACUGAGACACGGACCCGACUCCUACGGGAGGCAGCAGUAAGGAAUAUUGGUCAAUGGGCGCAAGCCUGAACCAGCCAUCCAGCGUGCAGGAAGAAGGCCCUAUGGGUUGUAAACUGCUUUUAUCAGGGAAUAAACCCUUGGAUUUACUCCGAGGCUGAAGGUACCUGAGGAAUAAGCACCGGCUAACUCCGUGCCAGCCGCCGCAGU